rnacentral:rRNA from 1 species
UACGUAGGGGGGCAAGCGUUGUCCGGAUUUAUUGGGCGUAAAGAGCGUGUAGGCGGUUUGGUAGGUCCGUUGUGAAAACUCGAGGCUCAACCUCGAGACGCCGGCGGAAACCAUCAGGCUAGAGUUCGGUAGGGGGAGUCUGGAAUUCCUGGUGUAGCGGUGAAAUGCGCAGAUAUCAGGAGGAACACCGGUGGCGAAGGCGGGACUCUGGGCCGAUACUGACGCUGAGGAGCGAAAGCGUGGGGAGCAAACAGGA